rnacentral:rRNA from 1 species
GACGGGUGAGUAACGCGUAGGGAACCUGGCCCUUACGGGGGGAUAACAGAUGGAAACAACUGCUAAUACCGCAUAAGCGCCCAGCCUCGCAUGAGGCAGAGUGAAAAACUAAGGUGGUAAGGGAUGGCCCUGCGUCCGAUUAGCUAGUUGGUAUGGUAACGGCAUACCAAGGCGACGAUCGGUAGCCGGCCUGAGAGGGUGGACGGCCACAUUGGGACUGAGACACGGCCCAAACUCCUACGGGAGGCAGCAGUGGGGGAUAUUGCACAAUGGGGGAAACCCUGAUGCAGCGACACCGCGUGGGUGAAGAAGCGCUUCGGCGUGUAAAGCCCUAUCAGUGGGGAAGAAAAAGGACGGUACCCAAAGAAGAAGCACCGGCUAAAUACGUGCCAGCAGCCGCGGUAAUACGUAUGGUGCAAGCGUUAUCCGGAAUGACUGGGUGUAAAGGGAGCGUAGACGGUUGUACAAGUCUGAUGUGAAAGCCCACGGCUCAACUGUGGGAGUGCAUUGGAAACUGUAGAACUAGAGUAUCGGAGAGGCAAGUGGAAUUCCUAGUGUAGCGGUGAAAUGCGUAGAUAUUAGGAGGAACACCAGUGGCGAAGGCUGCUUGCUGGACGAAAACUGACGUUGAGGCUCGAAAGCGUGGGGAGCAAACAGGAUUAGAUACCCUGGUAGUCCACGCUGUAAACGAUGAAUACUAGGUGUUGGGGCCCGAAGGGCGUCGGUGCCG